rnacentral:lncRNA from 1 species
GCCUGAGACCCUGGAGAACCCAGAAGGAAGGUCAGGGAAGUGCUUUCCGUCCCCCCAUUGUAAUUUCUGGUGUUGGCCAUCUUCUAGACAACCAUCAGAGUAGAUUCUGCCCUUAGACUUGACUUUGUUUUGUUUUUUACUCUCAUAUAUCUUGUUGAUUCUGCUCUUUCAAAAGGUUCAACUAUUUUAAGAAAUAAACACCAGAGAGGAGCAGAAAGCAGAGCCUGAUGCCUUGGAAGUGUUGCUUAACUUUGUGAUGGGAAAUGGAAUGGAGUCUCUAGUGUCUCAUGUUUCCUGUUAUGAUGGCAAGAUUUGGGACAGAGAAGAAAAUAAAACCAGAUGUCAAAGGUGUCUGUAUAUGCUUUACUACCCUCAUUUGAAUUUAGAAAAGUAAAGAAAACUUUAAAAGCCUCUGAUUCAAUGCCUCAUGUAAACAGCUUUCUCUGUUCAUACAGUAAAGCAAUCCUUUUUUUCCCCUUAUCUCAACUGUUGUCCCUCCAAUGAAAAUCAUUUCUGAUAUUUUUAAGUCUAAAACACAAAAAUCACCAUAAAAAUAAUGAGAAUUGAAACUCUCUAUAGCGAAGAGGAGAUGACAGCUGCCUUCAGCCUGAAGAGCUGGAGCAAGCAAAGACAGCAGGAGUCAAAAUGCCAAGUGCAUUAGACCAGCUUGGUCUUUCAGCUUUCAACCUAUUCAUCUAAAGUCACAAUUGUGUCACCCGCUGGUCUUUACACACAUUCACAGUCUGAGUGAAGAAUUGUCACAUAUGGAUAAAGAGGAGAGAAGCAGUUUUAUCGUUUGUGUCAGGAACUUGUACAUUACUCUCAAUUAAGAGAGACCAUGAGUUAUUUUCAAAUGCUACUUCAGUAUAUUCAUAAGGGCUUUCGGCAGAUCCACCUCCACUGGCUGAUAGCCCUAUCCGCGUCUACCAUGUCACCUGGUUCUGGAGCUAGAGGACAUUUUCAAGCACUAACAGGGUGGUGGUAACUAAUCAAGAAGACUUAGACUAGAAGCCUUCUGGUCUAAACAACUAAAGAAAAAUUGAGGAUGGUGCUGAACUAGUCUUGUUGUGGAGAACAAUUGUAAUGCCUUCUAUCACUUAUUGCCAAAAUAUUCCCAUUAUGUAAAUAUAUGUUAUGACUUAUUUCAACCAUAUAGUUGCUGAAUUAUUUCAGUUGUCUUUUUCUUCUUCUCAAGUAGGUUUUAUCAUUGGUAAGGAGCAACAAUUGUGGCUUGUGUAGUAUUUAUUUUCUAUACACAAUGCUUCUCUCAGAUCUGCUCUAUCUGCCAGGAGGAUAGUUACCUCUAUAUCAAUUCCAUAAUUUGCACUUCCUCUGCUUACUUCCUAAGUCUGAGGACAGAUUGACCCCAUCAAGAAUAGAUAAUUAUUCCCCAGCCAUUGUUUAGUGAACAGAUUAUCAGAAUUUUCCUCCUGGUAUUUUAGUGCACUAUUGUUAUAUUUUUAACUUGGGAAGUUAAAACUAAAAUGCAAUUUUCCAGAACAAU